rnacentral:rRNA from 1 species
GACGAACGCUGGCGGCGUGCUUAACACAUGCAAGUCGAACGGAAAGGCCCUGCUUUUGUGGGGUGCUCGAGUGGCGAACGGGUGAGUAACACGUGAGUAACCUGUCCCUGCCUUUGGGAUAUCUUCAGGCCACUGGGGCUCAUACCGGCUAGGAGCUCUUGCUGCAUGGUGGGGGCUGGAAAGUUUCGGCGGUUGGGCGUGGAAUAGCCGCCUAUCAGCUUGGUGGUGGGGUAGUGGCUUACCAAGGCUUUGACCGGUAGGCUGCCUGGGCGGGUGACCGGCCACAUUGGGACUGAGAUGCGGCCCAGACUCGUACGGGAGGCAGCGGUGGGGAAGAGUGCACAAUGGGCGGAAGCCUGAUGCAGCAACGCCGCGUGCGGGAAGACGGCCUUCGGGUUGUAAACCGCUGUCGCCUGUGACGAAGCGAGAGUGACGGUAAUGGGUAAAGAAGCACCGGCUAACUACGUG